rnacentral:lncRNA from 1 species
GAGAGCACCAACAAGGGUGUCAGUGCUGACAUAGGCUGGACAGUGAAGACCAAAAACAGGCAUGUGAUCUCAAUGUCUGUGAUCUUCCUCCUGGAAAGGCAUUUCUUGGCUCAGGUCUCUCUGGGCUGGCACUGAAGUAUCCUUUGUCCUUUUGUGUGGUUUGUAAUGCUUGGGAAAUGGUGCUGGAGGCAAAGUUGCACCCCACCAACAUUGCCUUAUGAGGAAGAAUUGUCUGUGAUUGAUAUGGACACCAUCCGUGGCCUUGCCUGAGGGACUCCCAGGGAAGUCAGGGACAUCUGGUGUGAGAAGGGACUGCUGGCUGCCUGAAGGAGUGCAGCCCUUGAGUCUGGAUCUUAUUUGGAAUAAAUACAUGUGGCUCUUCAUCACCUUUUGAAAAGGACAAAUUUGCAGAGUAAGAGGAAGAAGAGCAAAGACACCAAAUCUGGUACCACACCCUCCACCCAUGAAUGUGUUUUUCCAGCCUUUCUUGAACCAAUUAAAGCUAUCAGUCUGCCACGACAAUGCUGGGACGGCCAUCAAUUGUCAAGAUAAUCUGAAUCUCAGUAAAUAUAGUUGGAGUUUCAGAUUUCAGGCAGAGUGCUGUGAAUAUGAGAAGAAAAUAGCAGAGAAAGACUUUAACACACACCUCCUAAUCUGUGUCAGUUGAAUUUAUUUCUCUAGGUGUUUACCUCUACUGAAAAACCACUGUGACUCAGCCUAUGGCCUUUCAUCGUUUGAAUAAAUGUCUUGGUAGAAUACA